UUUACACCAUAAUGAACCGAGCAGACCCAGCAUCAAAGCGACUAGCACCAAGGCAGCCACGCCUUCUCCCAUGCCGAAGGAAGACACACUUCCGAGGUGCCAGACACCUGCCGAAGCUCUCAGCUACCAAACCUAAUCUCCAGGACACGUGUCGUCACCACAACGGCUUGCACAAAGUCCCACAUUGGAACUUUGUGCAAAGCUCCCACUUUCACUUCCCUAUAAAUAGGGAACAGUACCCAGGUAAAAAGAGGAACUACUCUCCCACUUUUAC
rnacentral:lncRNA from 1 species